rnacentral:piRNA from 1 species
UCCUGAGAAAUGUGUCAUUAGGUGGUUU